CUUUUUUUUGCCCUUGCCCGUGGAGAAGGCUCGUCUUCCUCUCACAGAAGAUCUCCCGCAUGCGGCUGCUCAUUCUCGUGCCGCACGUCUGCAUCAGCUCCUCUUCCUCAUCUCUGUCGAGUUAUGACUUGUGACCUAAUUUUGCUGAUGGCGGGUCAAAUUUGUCAUGAGCAAGGGAAGGCUCAAUGAGGCAGCGCAUUGUUGUAGACAGGCUUCAACAGUCGUUGUCUGCCCAAAUUAAUUGUCGUAGAAACAUUUGGGAAUAUGAUGAAGGUCCAUGGUCCAUUACAAGAAUUAUUCUUCAUCAUCACCAACUAGCAACCCAUGCCUUUGCUUCGACAGAUGGGUUCCUCAUAGUUUUGAACCAGGCUGGCUCUUCGACCUCCUCCUUGUCGAUUGAGGCUAUUGCUUUUAAUCCAGUUCUUCCCCUUCCCAUAACAGACAUGUGGAAAAGAAGGUGGGCUGAGAUGUUGCUGUUGUAAGUAAGGCCCAGGAUGAUGAACUAGAAGACAAUACAGUCUCAUAGGCACCCAUGGCGGCAGCAGACCACCACCAGUAGGCGGAGAGGGGUAAGUAGAUUGUCCAUCGGCGAGCUGGCAGCUCAGGUGAUCAAGCCAUACUGUCAAGGGGUCGUCAAGAAUCUGGAUCCUCCACAUGAGGUUGGAGGAUAACUUUUAGAUUCGACCUCAAAGCCGUUAGAUCAUGGUACCGAAAUUCCCCUGCUUUGACUGACUGAUGGUAAGGUAAAAAAAAUUGAUUUUUUUUUUUUCAGAUUUGAGCAUUAUGAAGAUCGAAAUAUCGCCUUGACUGAAGAAGCCAAAGCCUGCAGUAGAGGAAAAGCUCGGGAUUCGCACAUCAGUAGUUCAAAAAUCCUCAAAAUCCAUAGAGCGGUGCGGUUCGUUAAAUUCUUCAAGCAAAAUCUUUUGAUGGCAAUGAUCAUCUACAACUACAAGCUUGAAAGGUUCUCGUCACAGAUUUGAAAUUUAGACGACAGAAACAAGGUACGUACUUUGGCCAAUAAUCUUUUAUUCUUAUAGCAAGAAAUCACAAAAACCUAUAUGAACAUAUGAAUUAAAAGGCAAAGUAGGCUUGCUCUCGGAGAGGAAAUUGUGGGUUUAAUCCUUGUCGCUUAAGCAAAGAAUUGGAACCAACCCUGUUGAACUGAAAUCCGCCACUAAAUUGCGAAACAAAUAGUUUCAUGAUACCAGAAAUCGCAGAAAAUUUCAGGAAAUAUAAAGCGUCAACAGCCAUAGCAUAGAAAUUGAAGCACCAGAUGAGAAAACAUAAGUAUACAGGACCCAUUUGUUUUCGUUUUCAUGUCAGUUCAACGAAAAAAGAAUUGUAUGAGCAGCAAAAGAAAGGGGGGAAAGAAGAU